ACUGAUUAUUUGUGACUGAGUGGCGGACGGGUGAGUAACGCGUGGGUAACCUGCCUUGUACAGGGGGAUAACAGUUGGAAACGGCUGCUAAUACCGCAUGAUGCAGUUGGGUCGCAUGGCUCUGACUGCCAAAGAUUUUAUCGCUCUGAGAUGGCCUCGCGUCUGAUUAGAUAGUUGGUGGGGUAACGGCCUACCAAGCCGACGAUCGGUAGCCGGACUGAGAGGUUGAACGGCCACAUUGGGACUGAGACACGGCCCAGACUCC
rnacentral:rRNA from 1 species